AUACAGAGGGUGCAAGCGUUAUUCGGAAUUACUGGGCGUAAAGCGCGCGUAGGCGGAUGAUUAAGUCAGUUGUGAAAGCCCUGGGCUCAACCUAGGAACUGCAUCUGAUACUGGUCGUCUAGAGUUUAAGAGAGGGAAGUGGAAUUCCAGGUGUAGCAGUGAAAUGCGUAGAUAUCUGGAGGAACAUCAGUGGCGAAGGCGACUUCCUGGCUUAAAACUGACGCUGAGGUGCGAAAGCGUGGGUAGCGAACGGGAUUAGAUACCCUGGUAGUCC
rnacentral:rRNA from 1 species